rnacentral:rRNA from 1 species
GGAAUAUUGGACAAUGGGCGAAAGCCUGAUCCAGCAAUGCCGCGUGAGUGAUGAAGGCCUUAGGGUUGUAAAGCUCUUUUACCAGGGAUGAUAAUGACAGUACCUGGAUAAUAAGCUCCGGCUAACUCCGUGCCAGCAGCCGCGGUAAUACGGAGGGAGCUAGCGUUGUUCGGAAUUACUGGGCGUAAAGCGCACGUAGGCGGCGAUUCAAGUCAGAGGUGAAAGCUCGGGGCUCAACCCCGGAACUGCCUUUGAAACUAGAUUGCUAGAAUCCUGGAGAGGUUAGUGGAAUUCCGAGUGUAGAGGUGAAAUUCGUAGAUAUUCGGAAGAACACCAGUGGCGAAGGCGACUAACUGGACAGGUAUUGACGCUGAGGCGCGAAAGCUAGGGGAGCGA